rnacentral:rRNA from 1 species
GUCGAGCGGUAACACAGAGAGCUUGCUCUCGGGUGACGAGCGGCGGACGGGUGAGUAAUGUCUGGGAAACUGCCUGAUGGAGGGGGAUAACUACUGGAAACGGUAGCUAAUACCGCAUAACGUCGCAAGACCAAAGUGGGGGACCUUCGGGCCUCAUGCCAUCAGAUGUGCCCAGAUGGGAUUAGCUAGUAGGUGGGGUAAUGGCUCACCUAGGCGACGAUCCCUAGCUGGUCUGAGAGGAUGACCAGCCACACUGGAACUGAGACACGGUCCAGACUCCUACGGGAGGCAGCAGUGGGGAAUAUUGCACAAUGGGCGCAAGCCUGAUGCAGCCAUGCCGCGUGUAUGAAGAAGGCCUUCGGGUUGUAAAGUACUUUCAGCGAGGAGGAAGGCAUUAAGGUUAAUAACCUUGGUGAUUGACGUUACUCGCAGAAGAAGCACCGGCUAACUCCGUGCCAGCAGCCGCGGUAAUACGGAGGGUGCAAGCGUUAAUCGGAAUUACUGGGCGUAAAGCGCACGCAGGCGGUCUGUCAAGUCGGAUGUGAAAUCCCCGGGCUCAACCUGGGAACUGCAUUUCGAAACUGGCAGGCUAGAGUCUUGUAGAGGGGGGUAGAAUUCCAGGUGUAGCGGUGAAAUGCGUAGAGAUCUGGAGGAAUACCGGUGGCGAAGGCGGCCCCCUGGACAAAGACUGACGCUCAGGUGCGAAAGCGUGGGGAGCAAACAGGAUUAGAUACCCUGGUAGUCCACGCCGUAAACGAUGUCGACUUGGAGGUUGUGCCCUUGAGGCGUGGCUUCCGGAGCUAACGCGUUAAGUCGACCGCCUGGGGAGUACGGCCGCAAGGUUAAAACUCAAAUGAAUUGACGGGGGCCCGCACAAGCGGUGGAGCAUGUGGUUUAAUUCGAUGCAACGCGAAGAACCUUACCUACUCUUGACAUCCAGAGAACUUAGCAGAGAUGCUUUGGUGCCUUCGGGAACUCUGAGACAGGUGCUGCAUGGCUGUCGUCAGCUCGUGUUGUGAAAUGUUGGGUUAAGUCCCGCAACGAGCGCAACCUUAUCCUUUGUUGCCAGCGGUCCGGCCGGGAACUCAAAGGAGACUGCCAGUGAUAAACUGGAGGAAGGUGGGGAUGACGUCAAGUCAUCAUGGCCCUUACGAGUAGGGCUACACACGUGCUACAAUGGCAUAUACAAAGAGAAGCGACCUCGCGAGAGCAAGCGGACCUCAUAAAGUAUGUCGUAGUCCGGAUUGGAGUCUGCAACUCGACUCCAUGAAGUCGGAAUCGCUAGUAAUCGUAGAUCAGAAUGCUACGGUGAAUACGUUCCCGGGCCUUGUACACACCGCCCGUCACACCAUGGGAGUGGGUUGCAAAAGAAGUAGGUAGCUUAACCUUCGGGAGGGCGCUUACCACUUUGUGAUUCAUGACUGGGGGAAGUCGAACAAG